GGGCCCGCACAAGCGGUGGAGCAUGUGGUUUAACUCGAAGCAACGCGCAGAACCUUACCAACCCUUGACAUGGAUAUCGCGGCUCUGGAGACAGAGCUUUCAGUUCGGCUGGAUAUCACACAGGUGCUGCAUGGCUGUCGUCAGCUCGUGUCGUGAGAUGUUCGGUUAAGUCCGGCAACGAGCGCAACCCACGUCCUUAGUUGCCAGCAGGUUACGCUGGGCACUCUAAGGAAACUGCCGAUGAUAAGUCGGAGGAAGGUGUGGAUGACGUCAAGUCCUCAUGGCCCUUACGGGUUGGGCUACACACGUGCUACAAUGGUAGUGACAGUGGGAUAAUCCCAAAAAGCUAUCUCAGUUCGGAUUGGGGUCUGCAACUCGACCCCAUGAAGUCGGAAUCGCUAGUAAUCGCGGAACAGCAUGCCGCGGUGAAUACGUUCCCGGGCCUUGUACACACCGCCCGUCACACCAUGGGAGUUGGGUCUACCCGAAGGUGGUGCGCUAACCCAGCAAUGGGAGGCAGCCAACCACGGUAGGCUCAGCGACUGGGGUG
rnacentral:rRNA from 1 species